UCUAGAGGGUAAAGACUGCGGACACGGUAAGGGUGGAAAAGUAACAGGUAGAAAAGUUGGAGAACUGGGCUCCUUGGUCUUUUGUGUACAAAUGUCUCAGCUGCUUGAAGAAAAGCUGAAAGACAAGGCUGAGGCACAUUUAGCCACCACUACAAUGACUGAAAAUAUCGCACGCCUAUUGUCAUUGUAACGCUCUGGGCUACCCAUGACCUUCCUAGAAGGAAGUUGGUGGAUUCUCCCGCUUCCCCGCAAGGUAUCUCAGCGUGGGCUGGCGUGUGUGCAGAGCGAUCCGGGGGGUCGCGGCGUCGGCAGGGCAGAUCAAAGGCUCCGAUUUCCGCUCUGGAGCUGGGGACGCUGGCCAGGAACCGCAGGCACCUUCCGGGCCGGGAGUUCAAGAAGUUGGCCCCGUGAGCAUUAACCUCUUCCACCCUCUGGUCUGCACCUGCCUGAGCCCAGGUGCCUAAAGCUGACAAGACCAUCUUCUCCACUAGAAUGAGAGAAGAGGCUAUUUCUCUCAGCUUUGUACAUCAGGCAUCCAGAACACUGCUGAAUCCACAGCAGGUCAGCUCAAUUGUUUCAGUUCCAAUCAAAGAUAAGGCUCAGAGAUGAGGCUCAGAGAACUUGAGGACGUAGUCCAAGAUUACACAGCAUAUUUAAGUGAUUAUGGAAUAGUAAAAGUAUUCUACAAAGUACUUCAACUGCAAGCAAGGGAACUGACUGGAGUUAUAAUGUGAAUUAUUAACACUUCAAAUGGAGGACGUAGGUCAACAUUACUCUAGAAAAGAGGCUGGUGUAGUGUUUCCACAAUGCACACGAUACUGGGACGAAGAAGCACUGGGCGAGCAUGAAACCGACACCUGUUCCUCAUCUGUGUGAUGUUUCUGAAAGUUGUCAUCAGUGGAGAAAAAGGGAAAGACAGCACUCAGAGACGGGAAAAGAAGAGCAAAAUGCCCAGUGCUGGACUCCUCCUGGUAAACAGCACCGAUGCCUUCUUUUGUAAUGGUCAACUCCAGUCAGACUCAGCACCAGCAUAGACAUAAGGAAAGGCGUCUUGGACUCCUACCUUUCCAAAAGCAGUUGGACAAUAAAAUGGAGUGAGUAAAAACACAUUUCCAACCAAAACAAGAGUAUGUAGAGGGUGUGCAUGUGUGUGUGUGUGUGUGUGUGUGUGUGUGUGUGUGUAUCUAAAGGGAUGGUGCACCAAAAGACAGAAUAAAAAGCAAACUAGCCCUUCUUGCCUCCAGUUGCAGGAACCAAAAAAUGAUGGAAAUUCAGGCAGAACCUCCUUCAGAAAUAAGAAGGAGACACAAGAAAUCUAGGCAUGACUGAGGGACUAAAAAGAGAAAUAGAGACCAUGGGUGUAGCUUAAGGGCAGAGUGCUUGCCUAGCAUGCUCAAGGCCCUGGAGUGCAUCACCAGCAUUGCCAAAACAAGGAGAAGAAAAAAGAAAACAGAAAUUAAAAUGGCAUUAGCUAAGAACAAGAGCCCAGGAAAAUAAAAACAGCGAAUUUGCUAGAGGGGAAGUUUGUAUAUGCCUUUGUAAAAAGUCUGUUAAUUCAAUAAAUAGCUUUUAAAAAAAGA